UCCGGCUUAACUCCUGAAAGGUUCCUCCUUAAAUACCAUCCCCAGCUCUGGGUGCCUCAGUGUCUCCACAGACUUGCCCCCUCCUGCCUGUUGAGGACACCAGGCAUCAGCCAAAAUGACCAUGACACCAACAUUGGCUUUGCUGACCCUGCUGGCAGCCCCCCUGGGUAUCCUGUCCCAGGUCACACUGAAGGAGUCUGGCCCUGGGGUGGUGAAGCCUGGAGAAACCCUCAGCAUGACCUGUGCUGUCUCCGGGGUCUCUAUUACUGAUAGCAGCUAUGCCUGGAGCUGGAUCCGGCAGCCUCCUGGGAAAGGGCUGGAGUGGAUGGGAUACAUAUAUCCUGCUGGUGGGAGCACAAGCUACAACCCUUCUCUCCAGAGCCGCAUCACCAUGUCUGGAGACAGCUCCAAGAACCAGUUCUCCCUGCAGCUGCGCUCCCUGACAGCUUCAGACACCGCCAUGUAUUACUGUGCCAGAGACACAAUGCAGCUGCUCCAGUCUGGCCCUGAAGUAGUGAAGCCUGGAGACACCCCUAUCCUGACCAGUGCUGUCACAGGUCAGUCUGUGAGCACCACUGGGUAUCGCUGGAACUGGAUCCAGCAGCCUCCUGGGAAAGGCCCAGAGUGGAUGGGACUGGGAAGUGAAGUCCAGGUGAUACUGUGA